GCCGGGGUGGCGAAAUGGCAGACGCAGCGGGCUUAAACCCCGCGGCUCGGAAGAGCGUGAGGGUUCGACCCCCUCCCCCGGCACCA
rnacentral:tRNA from 1 species